ACAUACCCUCCUCAAUGUCCAUCACCCAGCCACCUCAUCCCCCCCACCUCCCUCCACUCUAGCAACCCUCAGUUUGUUUCCUGAGAUUAAGAGUCUCUUAUGGUUUGUCUCCCUCUCUGGUUUCAUCUUGUUUCAUUUUUUUCCUCUCUUCCCCUAUGAUCCUCUGCCUUGUUUCUCAAAUUCCAUAUAUCAGUGAGAUCGUAUGAUAAUUGUCUUUCUCUGAUUGACUUAUUUAGCUUAGCAUAAUACCCUCUAGUUCCAUUCACGUCAUUGCAAAUGGCACGAUUUCAUUUUUUUGAUGGCUGCAUAAUAUUCCAUUGUAUAUAUAUACCACAUCUUCUUUAUCCAUUCAUCUGUCGAUGGACAUCUGAGCUCUUUCAUAUUUCAUCAAUAGUUUGGCUAUUGUGGACAUUGGACAUUGCUGCUAUAAACGUUGGGGUGCAUGUGCCCCUGCACAUGCAUCACUACCUUUGUAUCUUUGGGGUAAAUACCCAGUAGUGCAAUUGCUGGGUCAUAUGGUAGCUCUAUUUCCAACUUUUUGAGGAACCUCCAUACUGUUUUCCAGAGUUGAGCCAAGAAUUUAAAACUUGGAGCUUUCCUUUCCCUUCUCUAAGCUCACCAGUGUAGCCAAAGCGGCCAGACCACCCCAGAGAACCCUUGAUUUCCUUUUUCCCACUGUAAUGGUCUAUCUUAACAGGUGUGUAGUCUGCCCAAGAUUUACCUUCAAGAGGCCAGUCCUUCCAGGUGGCCCCAAGUGGUAAAAUAAGUUACGGUUUUGCCAUUACAUGUAGUUACUGAGACCUCACUGCCUUCAGACCCAGCCAAGUACAGCCACGAUGGAAAAUAAUAUGGAGGAUCCUCAAAAAAUUAAAAACAAAACUACCAUAGGAUCCAGCAAUUCUGCUUUUGGGAAUAUAGCCAAAGGAAAUGAAAACACUAACUCGAAAAUCUAUCUGCACCCCCAUGUUCAUAGCAGCAUUCUUUACAAUGGCCAAGACAUAGAAAUAACCUGGGUCCAUCGUGGAUAAAUGGUUAAAGAAGUUGUGGCAUGCAUAUGCAAUGGAAUAUAAUUCAGCCAUAAGAUUGAGGAAAUCGUACCAUUUGUGACAAUGUGGAUGGAGCUUAAAAGCGUUAUGCUAAUUGAAAUAAAUCAGAGAGAGAAAGACAAAUACUGUAUGAUCUCGUUUAUAAACCAAAACCCAAAGCCAAACUCAUGGAAAAAGAGAUCAGACUUGUGGUUGAAGUCAGAGAAAGAAAGAGAGUUGAAGAUGCACAGCUGGCUUUGCAGAUAGGGCCACAAGCCAGAGGAUGCAGGUGGUCUCUAGAAGCUGGAAAAGGCAAGGAAAUCAGCUCCCUGUAGAGCUUCCGGAAGGCACGCUGUCCUGCUGACACCUUGAUUUUAGGACUUCUGACCUCCCAAACUUGGACUAACAGUUUCCUUCUGGAAAAUGGAAUACGCAUAUGGAUUCCAAAUGGAGGUAGAAGAGAUUCCACGUUCGUUCAACUGGGUGAAAAAAGCGAGAUGGGGAGUCUCUGCCACUCUUACUCCCUUGGGAGACGCAGGAACCCGCACAGAGCACCAUCCCAGUGCUCUGUGGACCCCGAUGAACGGCACAUGGUGGGGCUUACCAAAGAGGCUUUGGGGAGAAGUGUAUCUCCACCCCGGCUUGUGAGGGUGGAAGGAGGGCCCCACUUACCUGAAGU